AAAACCCUUGAUUCGUUUUUCUUUUUCUCUGUUAGGGUUUCAAAACCCCCUCCUUCCUUGCGCUGUCGUUUGAGCCUAGUGCCCCAUGUCUCGAUUUCACCAGAGAAGACACCGGCUCGACAACUCCGGCGACCAGGUAAGUCCUUUCCUCCUUUCUUUAUAUUUUAAAUAAAAAAUAAAAUAAAAUAAAGCUAAAAGGGAAAAAAAACAAAACGAAACUAAGAAAGAUGAAAAAUGGAAAAGACACCUUAUAUAUUCGAAAAUUUUCUGUAUCUAUUUCGUUUCUUUGUAUUUUUCUCUCUUUUCGUCCCUUUUUUACACUGAAUUCCCCCCCUUUUUACAGAUUUUCGCGCCCCCUUGAUACAGAUUUUCAUUGGCUUUAUAUAGCCGAUUAACACCAAAAAUUCGAAAAAAAUCAAAAUCCCCACUUCUUUCCUUUAUUUGCUGCGCUUGUGUCCCCCUUUUCGCAGGUUUGGUGACCGUGGAAUGCGCGCGACGGGCGCGGAGCAACAAGCGCGGCGUGUGGGCGCUGUUGCGGCGUGCGCGUGGGAGCUGCUGCGCCUAGGGUUCAUGCUGGUGUUUUGGGCUAGCAAGCUUGGUUUAGUAACUUGGGCCAUUGGGUUUCAAUUAUUGGGUUUUAAGCCUAUUAUUACAAAAAACAGACUGCCUACUUUGUUUUGUGCGGGCCCGGGUCAAUUGGGCUUAUUACAA
rnacentral:lncRNA from 1 species